UACGUAGGGUGCAAGCGUUGUCCGGAAUUAUUGGGCGUAAAGAGCUCGUAGGCGGUCUGUCACGUCGGCUGUGAAAUCCCGAGGCUCAACCUCGGGUCUGCAGUCGAUACGGGCAAACUAGAGUAUUGCAGGGGAGACUGGAAUUCCUGGUGUAGCGGUGAAAUGCGCAGAUAUCAGGAGGAACACCGGUGGCGAAGGCGGGUCUCUGGGACGGUACUGACGCUGAGACGCGAAAGCGUGGGGAGCGAACAGG
rnacentral:rRNA from 1 species